rnacentral:sRNA from 1 species
UUCUAUAGUUUUUUUUCCUUCUCCAAAUUUUGAUUUUAAUAUAAUUUUUCGAGCCUUUUCGUUAUAUUUGCUAUAUUACGGGGCCAAAAUUAUAUGUUCGGACAUUAUUUUCGAAUAUUUUGCAUGUAUCAAAGCUCUUAUAAACAAGAUAGGGUAUUCCUACACAGCUGGUGGGACCCACGGUAAAUGGAUCAUAAAGUCUUCAAAAAAAAAAUAGAUACAAUUGCAUUGCAUGUAGUAACGGAUGCGAUCAUACCAGCACUAAUGCACCAGAUCCCAUCAGAACUCCGUAGUUAAGCGUGCUUGGGCGAGAGUAGUACUAGGAUGGGUGACCUCAUGGAAAGUCCUCGUGUUUUAUCCCUUUUUUUCGGUUUUUCUCUUUUUUUUAUGUCAAAAAUGUAUGACUCUAGAACUUUUAGACCGUGAGGCCAAACUUGGCAUGUGAUACUUUUUCGGAAAGGACAAAGAGAGCUCUCCGAUGAAUUAGGAAGGAAAAUGGAAUUCUUCUAUAGUUUUUUUUUCUACUCCAAAGUUUGACCUUAAUGUACUUUUUCAGGCCUUUUCGUAAUCUUUGCUAUAUUACGGGGCAAAAAUUAUAUGUACGGACAUUGUUUUCGUAUAUUUUGCAUGUAUCAAAGCUCUUAUAAACAAGAUAGGGUAUUCCUACAUAGCUGGUGGGACUCACGGCAAAUCGAUCAUAAAGUCUUCAAAAAAGAAUAGAUACGAUUGCAUUGCAUGUAGUUACAGAUGUGAUCAUACCAGCACUAAUGCAUCAGAUCCCAUCAGAACUCUGCAAUUAAGCGUGCUUGGACGAGAGUAGUACUAGGAUGGGUGACCUCCAGGAAAGUCCUCGUGUGUCAUCCCUCUUUUUGUUUUGUUAAACAUGUAUGACUCUAUAACUUUAAGACCGUGAGGCCAAACUUGACAUGUGAUACCUUUUCGGAAAGCCCAAAGAGAGCUCUCCGAUGAAUGAGGAAGGAAAAUGGAAUUCUUCUAUUGGUUUUUUUUCUUACUCCAAAUUUUGAUUUUAAUGUACUUUUUCGAGCCUUUUCGUGAUUUUUGCUAUAUUACGGGCGAAAAUUAUAUGUUCGGACAUUGUUUUCGAAUAUUUUGCAUGUAUCAAAGCUCUUAUAAACAAGAUAAGGUAUUCCUACAUAGUUGGUGA